UGAGGAAUAUUGGCCAAUGGUCGGGAGACUGAACCAGCCAAGCCGCGUGAGGGAUGAAGGUGCUAAGCAUUGUAAACCUCUUUUGUCAGGGAACAAAGGCAUCCACGAGUGGAUGUGUGAGUGUACCUGAAGAAAAAGCAUCGGCUAACUCCGUGCCAGCAGCCGCGGUAAUACGGAGGAUGCGAGCGUUAUCCGGAUUUAUUGGGUUUAAAGGGUGCGUAGGCGGCCUGUUAAGUCAGCGGUAAAAGCCCGGGGCUCAACCCGGCGAGCGUUGAAACUGGCUGGCUGGAGUUGGCGAGAGGUAUGCGGAAUGCGCGGUGUAGCGGUGAAAUGCUUAGAUAUCGCGCAGAACUCCGAUUGCGAAGGCAGCAUGCCGGCGCCACACUGACGCUGAGGCACGAAAGCGUGGGGAUCAAACAGGAUUAGAUACCC
rnacentral:rRNA from 1 species